GGUUAGAUGAGGGAAGAGAAGAGGUGCCUUCAUGUAUAAAAAGGAGGGGGGUGUGUGCAUUAGGAAGCAUGAGAGGCUAAGAUGCAAUUUAGAGGAAAUUGCAACUUUUGGCCCAAAGGUUUGAAUAAUUAAAUUCGAACCUAUAGUUUUUUUUUAAUAUAAUUUUGGGACUCACAAUCCCAUUUUUAUAUUAUUUUUCUCUCUUCCUCUCACGUUGCUCGGCGUUUUCUCGCAAGGAGGGAUUAUUUUCUUUUUCUUCAGAUUAUAUUGACAAAGAUAGUGGUGAAAAAGGAGUUGUGAAGGGGAACUUGUUAUUCAAGACACAAGGAGCGAGUCCGGCCGAGAAAGCACCAGAGGUGUAACUAUGGUGUAUGAAACACCAUCUUUUACGUUGCCUCUUAUUUUGGAUUAUACAAUGUAUCUUAUGCCAACUUAG